rnacentral:rRNA from 1 species
CAGUCGCCGCGGGAAUACGAAGGGGGCUAGCAUUACUCAGAAUUACUGGGCGUAAAGGGCGCGUAGGCGGCACGAUUAGUCAGGCGUGAAAUUCCUGGGCUCAACCUGGGGACUGCGCUUGAUACGGUCGAGCUAGAGGAUGGAAGAGGGUUGUGGAAUUCCCAGUGUAGAGGUGAAAUUCGUAGAUAUUGGGAAGAACACCGGUGGCGAAGGCGGCAACCUGGUCCAUUACUGACGCUGAGGCGCGACAGCGUGGGGAGCAAACAGGAUUAGAUACCCCUGUAGUCCCUGUCUUUAUACC